rnacentral:lncRNA from 1 species
GACCAAGUCUUCGACUAUCUGAGAGGAAUGAGCUUCAACCUUGUGGAAUGAACCCACAGAACUAUCAGCUGACAUGGGGGGAAAUUCCCAAGAUGCUCCCAAGAAAUAUAUAUAUAUUUUUGUCACGGGUGAAGAGAUGCCAGAAGACACAAUAACUUUAAAAAGAGAACUCUGAUGGUUUGAUUAAGUGUCCCUGUGGGUAUCCUGGCCAAGCUGAAAGUGGACACUGCAAACCUUCUGUGUCCAGAGAACCUUCCCUUCCUGGGAUCUCACAGACCAGUGGAAAGGAACAUGAGAUGUGUGUGCCAGGCAGCCUUGCUAGGUCCAGCAUCGGUUUUAUUGGCAUCUCAAGGUUGAUAACCAUUGGGCUAUCUGGUAGCAGGUGAGAGGAGAGUUUCUGGGCCUAGAUGUAUCUCUCAGAGAAGAUGGAGCCUCUGGAGAGGCACAGAAGAUGGAGACACAGUUAGCUGACAUCAAGAAUAUAUUGUAGCAUAAGGUGGGCCCAAGAAGAAAGUCUCAUAGGUAAAAUGGAUAUGGACAACUAACAUCAAGACCCUUAACGAGAAUGUGGGUAUGAGUAUUGUUUGAGUAUUAAAGACUGCUGAAUCAUCUUAAUCAGACCAGGUACUGGCAAUGGAAAGGGAUCCAACCCGCUCU